GACGAACGCUGGCGGCGUGCCUAAUACAUGCAAGUCGAACGCUGAAGGAGGAGCUUGCUUCUCUGGAUGAGUUGCGAACGGGUGAGUAACGCGUAGGUAACCUGCCUGGUAGCGGGGGAUAACUAUUGGAAACGAUAGCUAAUACCGCAUAAUAGUAGAUGUUGCAUGACAUUUGCUUAAAAGGUGCAAUUGCAUCACUACCAGAUGGACCUGCGUUGUAUUAGCUAGUUGGUGGGGUAACGGCUCACCAAGGCGACGAUACAUAGCCGACCUGAGAGGGGGAUCGGCCACACUGGGACUGAGACACGGCCCAGACUCCUACGGGAGGCAGCAGUAGGGAAUCUUCGGCAAUGGACGGAAGUCUGACCGAGCAACGCCGCGUGAGUGAAGAAGGUUUUCGGAUCGUAAAGCUCUGUUGUAAGAGAAGAACGAGUGCGAGAGUGGAAAGUUCACACUGUGACGGUAUCUUACCAGAAAGAGACGGCUAACUACGUG
rnacentral:rRNA from 1 species